rnacentral:rRNA from 1 species
UACGUAGGGUGCAAGCGUUAAUCGGAAUUACUGGGCGUAAAGCGUGCGCAGGCGGUUGUGCAAGACAGAUGUGAAAAUCCCCGGGCUCAACCUGGGAAUUGCAUUUGUGACUGCACGGCUAGAGUGUGUCAGAGGGGGGGUAGAAUUCCACGUGUAGCAGUGAAAUGCGUAGAGAUGUGGAGGAAUACCGAUGGCGAAGGCAGCCCCCUGGGAUAACACUGACGCUCAUGCACGAAAGCGUGGGGAGCAAACAGG